UGAGGUUCAAGUUGAUUGCUACUAUUCCCUAGCUAUGACUAAAACUCUGGUCUUCUGCACCCACUGAUAGUGAUCUCUUUGCCACAGGAUGCUGUGUAUAUGAAAUUGCAGUACAGCUAUGACACCUAAGAGAUUUGAAAGAUUAAUUUGGGCCAAAGGCCUCGAGGAAAGAAGAUUUCAUUACUGAGGUUGCCAGAAGGAAUGAAGAAGAAUGGAGAAUGAUUCUCAUAAUUAUAGCAUCUUGGAAAUUUUGAGCAGAAGCUCGUCUGACAAUGGAAAAAGACUAUGUCAUUGGCUGUUGAAGACUCUAACCAUAGCCUUUGAACAGAAAUGAUGAAAAGGAGGAAUUAACCAGGCUAGGAAGGUGACAAGGUACCCAGAAGGACUGGGGAGUAAAGUAAGUUGAUAUUUAUUUGAUUAUCUGACCCGGAAGGACUGGAGAGUAAAGUGAAUUACACUUAUUUGAUUAUCUGACUAAAAAAAAGAGAUAGCCUUUCUGCUUUCUUUCUUUUUACAUUCUCUAGUUUGGCUAAAAUAAUGCCUAAUUCCAAUAUUUUUCCUUGUACAAAAUUAUAGCAUCUCUAUGCUUUGUAAUAUUUCUGCCAAAACCUUCGUGUCUAUUAUUGAUGAGGGAAAUAAAUAGUACAGUUCUCUAGGAAAUUAUGUUUCA
rnacentral:lncRNA from 1 species